ACAUCCAAAUAUAAAGAUUUGUUUGCUCCAACUAUUUUUUCUCUGUUUCUUCUUAUGCUUCAUCCUCCGUGAUAUACUUUUCUAAUAUAGUAGAAAUAUGAGUUAACAUGUUGGUAUCAGCAUGUCUGCUAGGAGGAAUUAAAAUUCAAAGUGAAGGCAUAUUUGACUUUUCAUAGAAUUACUUAAGCAACGUGCCAGCCCCUUUGGGAGCUAAGUCGAAUAUCUUGGUGAUCUUGUGAGUGGUUGAUAAACUGCGAUUGCAAUCCCAGAGUUCUUCCACCAUCAUUGUUCUUCCGUCUUCUUCCAUCUUCCCUGUUUUCGAGAAGGCACAAUCACCCACUGCAAACUUUUUGAACAAACAUGCCCCAAAAUUUUUUUUUUGGAUUAAGAAUCUAUAUGACAGCUUUAUUUUUCAAUUUGUUUGACUAUUUUGGAGUGGGAGAGUUAGGCGGGAAGAAGAGUUAGGACAUAACUUAUAGCUCUUCGCCAAUGGUCUUUAUCCAGGUGUAUAACUUGGUUUUGGAUUUACCGAGCUAACGAGACAUUGAACUAUCUUGAGAGCUUGUUGGCAAAAAAAUUGAUGUAUUAUAGAACCUAAAAACUCAGGUUAUCUUAUCUUUAUAAAUUUCAUUAGAUUUCAGGUUAUCUUAUCUUUAUAAAUUUCAUUAGAUUUUGGUAUUCAUUUAUUCCAAUUUCUAAUGUAAUCUGCUUCCGAGUGAAAUCAUGAUGUGACUCACUAUGAAGCAUGCUUGAUUUAUCAUGAGCUCUAAAUUUGUGACUCUUAUGUGAAAUAUGUUUCAUUCUCUGAGCAAUGCUUCAUUCUAUGAGGAAGAGGAGCUAUGACACAGCCAAAUAAAAUAUAAAUGUGAAAUAAAAACUGAAAAUAUGUGGGAAGUCAUCCUCCAAUGUCGAUGAAUGAUGUCCAAGUGCAGGAAAAAAUUCAAAAAGAUUUGUAUUAACCCAGUGUAAGCACUCCCAAUGAUAGAUCUAUCAUUCGAUGCUAAAAUUGCUUUACACUCAUAGUAUAGGUAACUAAUAUUCACAACACUAUCAUAGUUAAACCAGUGAUACUGCAUCAAUAAAGGCUUAGAUUUUGCAUUGUGACUUUUUCAAUAAUGAUAAUGAUGUCAAGAAGGUCUCUAUUGGUUAACAUUUAUUUUGCUUAUUGGCACGUCUCUACAAUUUCCUUUUUGGCGAGUCGUAUUCACUCUGUACUAUUGUUCGCCAAACAUGACAGUUGGUGCUUACCUUUUCAAAGAAAUUGCUCCGACUUGAAAGAGCCUUGAACUACUCUAUUGUUGGAUAAAAUAGAAUGUUGAAAGUUGUUACUCUUAAUAUUGACAUUAAAAUUUGCCAAAACCUGUUAAUGAAAUUUGGUGUUUGGAUCAAACCAAAAUUUUCAUUUUAAAUCCUUAUGUUUGGGUUAACGUAGCUGAAGUAUAUGACAACGCUUGGUGAUUCGAUACUUUUCAAGAACAUUACUAAAGCUUAAAGGAACCUUUUAUUGAAAUAUGGACUUUUUAUUGAACUUGUUUAAUCCAGGGAGCAAUAAUAUGGCAUAUGUACUUAUGUACAUUAUUGGAGUAAUAUAUUUGAUCUAUGUUAGAGUUUCCCAGGAGCUUGUUGGGAACUCUCGGCUCAUGGAGCCAUUAGGGAAUAAAUGCAAUAGUUGUUAGACCUUAGAGUCGUAACGGUUGAUGGAUACCAAAGUGUUCCACAGGAAUAAAGUGUCCCUUUUUGUGUUGUUGCUUAACAACCUGUCAAUGUGGGCAUCGACUGAAGCAAACAAUGGUGAAGAGAGGAAGGCAGUUACUUUUGUACCACAUUAACAUGGAUCGAAUAAAAUGUAGUAGAUGCAAUACUACUUAUAUAUUCAAUUUCAAUUUGUUGGAUGCUAAAUGCAGGAUAAGAUUCUCAAAUUAGAUUUGUAUAAAAUUUGAAAUUAUUUUUUGAUUC